rnacentral:rRNA from 1 species
UCAGGGACCGUGUAUGGUGGGUAGUUUGACUGGGGCGGUCUCCUCCCAAAGAGUAACGGAGGAGCACGAAGGUACGCUCAGCGCGGUCGGACAUCGCGCACUGUGUGCAAAGGCAUAAGCGUGCUUGACUGCGAGAUCGACGGAUCAAGCAGGUACGAAAGUAGGUCUUAGUGAUCCGGUGGUUCUGUAUGGAAGGGCCAUCGCUCAACGGAUAAAAGGUACUCCGGGGAUAACAGGCUGAUACCGCCCAAGAGUUCAUAUCGACGGCGGUGUUUGGCACCUCGAUGUCGGCUCAUCACAUCCUGGGGCUGUAGCCGGUCCCAAGGGUAUGGCUGUUCGCCAUUUAAAGUGGUACGCGAGCUGGGUUCAGAACGUCGUGAGACAGUUCGGUCCCUAUCUGUCGUGGGCGUUGGAGAUUUGAGGGGGGCUGCUCCUAGUACGAGAGGACCGGAGUGGACGUUCCGCUGGUGUUCGGGUUGUCUCGCCAGAGGCAUUGCCCGGUAGCUAUGAACGGAAGUGAUAACCGCUGAAAGCAUCUAAGCGGGAAGCACGCCCCAAGAUGAGAUCUCCCGAGAGCUUGACUCUCCUUAAGGCACCAUCAAGACCAGGUGGUUGAUAGGUCAGGUGUGGAAGCGCAGCAAUGCGUU